rnacentral:lncRNA from 1 species
AGGGACCCAACUUUUGACUUAAGUUAUAUCCAAGUGUUUCUUGAGUUACAGUCUGAAUCUGUACCUGAGGACCGCAGAAGCCCCUGUGUGUCGCUGACCUAUACUCCAGCUUAUAGUUCACAGCUGGAAAAGAGAAUGCCAGCAUGGUUACACCAGCUCAGCUGUCUACCUGCUGAAGAAGUCUAAGAACUUGAAAGAAACUUGUAAAAGAUGAUGGAGAAUGUUGGUCAGCUCAGAGAGGAUGCCUACCUUCUGUGAAGGUAAAGAAAAGAAGCCUCUUGCCUUUGAUAAGACUGAAAAUUCCCAUGUAUGCUGCAUAAUUAAGGGUAUAGAAGAAAGAAACUCCACCAGCUGGCUUUGUAUAGAACAGCUUAGGUGAAUGCACUGUUAAAAAAUGAAGGAGGAAGAAACAUUUUUAAGGCAGGAGAGAACAACAAACUAUGAAUUUUUCACAGUAGCCUUCUCUUUUUGAAGAUCUCAUCUGUGGCAGAGACAUGGGCCUU